CCUACGGGAGGCAGCAGUGGGGAAUUUUCCGCAAUGGGCGAAAGCCUGACGGAGCAACGCCGCGUGGGGGAUGAAGGCCUCUGGGCUGUAAACCCCUUUUCUCAAGGAAGAAGACCUGACGGUACUUGAGGAAUAAGCCACGGCUAAUUCCGUGCCAGCAGCCGCGGUAAUACGGGAGUGGCAAGCGUUAUCCGGAAUUAUUGGGCGUAAAGCGUCCGCAGGCGGCCUAUUAAGUCUGUCGUUAAAGCGUGGAGCUCAACUCCAUUUAAGCGAUGGAAACUGGAAGGCUAGAGUGUGGUAGGGGCAGAGGGAAUUCCCGGUGUAGCGGUGAAAUGCGUAGAUAUCGGGAAGAACACCAGUGGCGAAGGCGCUCUGCUGGGCCAUAACUGACGCUCAUGGACGAAAGCCAGGGGAGCGAAAGGGAUUAGAUACCCCUGUAGUCCUGGCCGUAAACGAUGAACACUAGGUGUCGGGGGAAUCGACCCCCUCGGUGUCGUAGCUAACGCGUUAAGUGUUCCGCCUGGGAGUACGCACGCAAGUGUGAAACUCAAAGAUAGUACGCGNGAGAGAGUCGACGACGACGACGAGGAGGAGGAG
rnacentral:rRNA from 1 species